GGUGGUGUGGUGUAAUGGUAGCACGUGACGUUGUGGUUAGAGUUCGCCUCACAAACAAGUCCGUUUCAAUCUGGGUUCGAUUCCCAGCACCGCCA